AAACCUCCGAGUGAGUUGGG
rnacentral:misc_RNA from 1 species